AAACGUAUGUGGCAGGGGAGAUACUAUGAAUAGGAAGGUGGCUUUUCUAGGGUGAGGCUUAUCCACGGCGCUCUGGAUGUGCUGUCUCUUGCGAUUUCCCUAAAUGUGGGAAACUCGACUGAAUAAUUUGUGGUAGUGGGGGACUGCGUUCGCUAUUUCCCCUG
ensembl:snRNA U1 U1 spliceosomal RNA